rnacentral:RNase_P_RNA from 1 species
CAAGUAAGCCGGGUGGCCGCCCUCUAAUGCCAGGGUAAGGGGGAGGAAAGUCCGAGCUCCACCGGGCAAGAUGCUGGGUAACGCCCAGGAGGGGAAACCCUACGGAAAGUGCCACAGAAACAUACCGGCCCACGCAAGUGGACCAAGGGUGAAAUGGUGAGGUAAGAGCUCACCAGCAGCCGGGUGACCGGCUGGCUGGGCAAACCCCAUCCGGAGCAAGACCGAAAAGGAGGACUACAGGACGCCCGGCCUGUCCUCGGGUUGGUCGCUUGAGAUGACGGGUAACUGUCAUCCUAGAUAGAUGGUCACCACCUGAACGAUGCGGUGAAAACGCCGGGUCGUUCAAGUACAGAACUCGGCUUACAGGCUUACUUGGCUA